AAUCACACUACGCAGCUGUGUAAUAAAAUAACUUAAGAAUGAGAGGUUCUAAAUAAUUAUAUGAUUGUGACUUAUAUCAGUUUUUGUUAUUCAGAACGAAAUAUAGGGAACAGCUGGUUUAUUAAUCAUCAUGCUCCUUUUCUUUUCUUGUCUGAGUAAGAGUAAAUAGCAGUGACCAAAUACUAUUACUGAAUUAAUAAAUAAAUUUACACUUCCACUUGAUUGUUGUCAAAUGCUAAUGGUUACAAAUUUGCAUGCAUAUAUGUCUAUGUUGGUGACAUGUGGCAGCAACCCACGUCAUGCAAAUUUCCACAGCAGUCUCAGAAAGAGCUCAGACUCUAAGCAAGACAUGAGUGAUAUGAAAAGAAGAAAGUAAGUUGAAAAUGCAAGGUAGAGAAAGGUGUUGUUGCAGACUGAGAAUGAGGUGAAGGAGAAGAGAGAAAGCAAUGUUACACAAGAGAAAAGAGUAGUGUGAGAGUUGAAUAUAUAGAUGAGUGAAGGUUGGCCUGAACGGUGGAGUGAUUAAGUGAAGCAAGAAGUGGGG
rnacentral:sRNA from 1 species